rnacentral:lncRNA from 1 species
GCUAUUAUUAGGAUGAUAGUGAUAUCAAGUGUAGGUCGUUGUGUGCCAUAUGCGUUGGUUAUCCUCAUAACCAAAUGGUGUGGAGAUACUGAUAUGGCAUGCAAGUAAGAUGUAGGAGUACAUCUCAUUGAACAUGACCAACUACGAAGCACUCUGCUGUCAAGAAUAGCUCGUGAAGGGUAUGGAUAUAAAUAUCUCUCUGACCUGAGAUCACCAUGGUGACUUGCAAGCAACUCACUGUACUUUGGUGUCAGACUAACUCAGUUUCUAAUUCAGUGACGGAAGAUUUCUGGAUGCAGUUAAGUAUUUAUCAAGUUGGUGCAUGAGUCAAGAUGGGAUUGACCCCUCUGAAUUAGUAGGAGUUAAUGUAUCAAUGUAUUUUAAUUUAGCAAAAUCUGAGUCUGGAUAAUCCAUAUGAUCGAUUUGAAAGAUUGAAAUAUAAUGUGGAUGACUUAUUUAGGAUUGACAGUUAAAUCCUAGGUCAUCCUCGAGCAUUAGGAUUAAAAGGAUGAAUUAUACGAUAACCAUACAUCAAUAGAUUUUUGAAUGUUGCUUCAUCUUCAUUCAACCUAUUCGGACGUCGGAUCAUCAUUGCUAGAUGGUUACAUCGAUUGAUUGAAAAAUUUAUUCUGGUGCUAUCGACUUAGAUUCAAAUCUAUAGAGUCACACUUAAAAAAAAUUUUGACUGAUCAUGUGGCUAAUCAAUGAUUGAGAAUUAUUCAAGGGCUUAAUUGUUAAUUCGAUUGAUGAUUAACUUUAUGCAAAAGUUGUAAUAAAUUAAUUUACCAAGUGUUAGUGAAUUAAUAGAGGAUUAACUAGCAAUUAAAUUGCUGAUUAGCUCAAUUUGAUUGAGUAAAGAGGAUUAAAUAAAAUCUAAUUGAAUUAAAUUCNNNNNNNNNNNNNNNNNNNNAAAAGAGUUGUGCUUGGACUAAGGAGCCUAAACUGACAAAAGAGUCUAAGGUUAACUUAGUCUGGCAGAGUCUCUUGAUCCGAAUAGGCUAAGGAAGAGAAAUCAGCAAAGGAUUAUUGAAUAAGGUAUUUAUAUGAUAAGAUCUUAUGAUUUCUCUAUCUGUGACACUACUAUCUGGUAUUGGAUGUCGGAAGUCCAUGCAAAUUAUUGCAAUGACUUCAGAUUAGUAAAAAAUUUGAAAACAGCAAGAGGUUCCUGAAUGUUGGAGAUAGAAGUUAUGUUUCAAUCCUGAUUUUAGAAAUCAUCGAGCCUAUUUUCAAUUCUAAUAAUAUUAUUUUUAGUGUUACUAUUGUCUAAUAAUUUUUGUGAUAUUAUUAUUAAUGAUGUCAAAAUCAUGUAGACAAUUGAGAAAUGAUAUUUAUGAAUAGUCACUGUCUGUUAGUGUAUAGUACACAACAAACAAACAUCCUAAAAUAGAUGUUGUCACAGAUAUCUACUUUUAGUAAUUUAGGCUUGAUCAUAUAAAUAAGAAUAGGAUCAACAAGAUAAUUCUCAAAGUCAAUGAUUGUGAAUCAUUGUCAACCUGUCAAUCCUAUCUCCUCAGUAAGAUGACCAAGUCACCUUUUGCUGGAAAAAGUGAAUGACCUAAUAAUAUUCUUAGUCUGAUACAUAUUGAUGUAUUAGAUCUAUGAAUAUGUUUGCCAUAAAUUUGAUUUAUUUGAAAUGUUCAAACAAUUCCAUAAUAAGAUAGAGAAAUAAACUGAGAAGAGCAUUGAAACUCUUUAGUCAGACCAAGAAGGAGAAUAUUUUUCUGGUGAGUUUUUGACAUAUCUAGAAGAGAAUAAGAUUCUCUCUUAAUGGAAUCAACUUUGUUACACAUAAUUCUAUCCAUGAUAGGAUUUACAAAUCUGCCAAACUCCUUUUAGGGUUAUGCUCUUAAGACUCUUGUCGUGUUCUGAAUUGGAUUUCAAAUUAAUCAGUUGCAAAGACUCCAUAUGAGAUAUGGACUAGGCAUAAAUCGAUACUUUCUUACCUUAGAGUUUGAGAGUGUUUAUUUAAUAUCAAGCAUUUGCGGAUCGAUUAGCUUGGAUCCCGAUCCUAUAUGUAUUAUUUUGUAGGAUAAUCCUAAAGAAUCUAAGGGAUAUAACUUCUACCUUGCUCAAAAAUAAAAGUUGUUCGGCAUUCUUUUUAAAAAGAGAGUACCUUAGUGAAGGAACUGAUACCUUUAAUAUGAAACUUAUGAAGUUCGACAAAUAAAAAAAUCGAUACAAUCUAGUAAAUCCAAAGAACCGACACAAUCUAGUAAAUCCAAAGAACUGAAUUUGAUUAGAUCAAAUCUGAAAUCUAUUUUAAAGGCAUCAUUAAAGAGAUUCGAUAGAGUACCACAUCCGUUGGAUAGAUACUUCAGUUUCUAAGUCCGAAACGUGAUCCUGUUGAACUCGAUGAGAACAACAAAGAUCUAAUCACCUACAUAGAUGCCAUACAGAGAUCCGACUCUAAUUAAUAGCUUGAAGUCAUAAAGUCCGAAAUAGAGUCCAUAAUGAUCAAUGGUGUAUGAACACUCAUUGAUCCACUUGAAAGAAUAAAGCCCAUAGAGUGUAAGUGAAUCUUUAAUAGGAUCAGAAGGUGCAGACGAGAAGGUGAAGACCUACAAAGUCUAUCUGGUUGCCUAAGAAUAUUGGCAACAUUAUGGUAUUGACCAUAACGAGAUAAUUUCUCUUGUAGCAAUGCUGAAAUAUUUCGAAGUUGGAACAUAUAUUUUGAUAAAUGAUCAAAAUACAUGGCUUUGUUGAGAAUGAAGAAGAAUCCUGUAAAAACAAAUGGAUUAAUAGUUCUAUGAGUAUAUUUCUUAUUUUGUAUGUGAAUAAAAUUUUCUUAAUCAAAAAUGACAUUCCUUACAUUACAGGGAAUAAAAGUUUCACCGUUAUCAUUGCUUCUCCAUAAAGGACUUUGGAAAAAGCAUUCAUCAUCCUAGGGAUGAAGAUCUAUAGAGAUAGAUCUAAGAGGGUGCUUGGGUUAUUCCAGUCCAACGUAUAUAGAGUAUUUAUUAGUAGAAUUUAUUCUAUUAUGAACACCAUAUAUGAGACUGGAUAUGGUACACUCACUAUAGCAGUGAGUGGAUAUCUGUAAGAUUUGGAUAAGAAUCACUGGAAGGUCAUCUUAAGUAUUUGAGAAAUACUAAGGACCGACGAUUCGAUUAUGGAGAAUCUGACUUAAAAUUUAUAAAGUAUGAUUUUAAUUUUUAGUUGGACAUAAUAAUAGCAAGAACAUAUCUGAAUACAUCUUUAUCCUAAAUAAUAGAGUAAUCUAUUAAAAAGUUUCAAGCAGAACAAUAUAGCCAAUUUAAUUUGCAAUGCAGAAUACAUUGCAGCAUCCGAUGCUUGCAAGAAAGCUAUAUGAUUGUACAAGUUCAUUGGCAAGCUAGGAGUGGCACCUCCCAAUGAUGGUCCUAUUGUAUUGUAUAGCAUCGGAGCCAUAGCUCAUACCAAGAAGCUGAAGUCCCAUUAGCUUACCAAGCAUUUUGCAUCGCUACCACCUUAUUCAAAAAUCUGUUAAGGUGAUGUCGAACUUUAAAAGAUCGAUGGAAAGGAGAAUAUGACCAACCUAUUUACUAAAGUCUCGAUAUCUAGGAGUUCUGAGAUGAUAAAUUGAAGAUGGAUAUAUGAUACUAUACUGAUUGACUUUAGUCCAAGUGGAAGUUGUUGGAAAAUAUAUCCUAAAGUCAAUCAUUUGAUGAUUAUGCUAAUUAUAAAUAUAUAUGAAUUGAUAAAUAAUAAAAAUUAUUUGAUCUUUUUUAUCACAAGGUUACAUCUUCUAACGAACUUCUAUAUUGUGAUGAGGUCCUUAGGAUUAUUUUAAUCGAUAAAAGAGGAUUUAUCAUGUAAUCCUUAAACUAGUUCACGAUCAAAUGAUAUGCUAUUAUUAGGAUGAUAGUGAUAUCAAGUGUAGGUCGUUGUGUGCCAUAUGCGUUGGUUAUCCUCAUAACCAAAUGAUGUGGAGAUACUGAUAUGGCAUGCAAGUGAGAUAUAGGAGUACAUCUCAUUGAACAUGACCAACUACGAAGCAUUCUGCUGUCAAGAAUAGCUCGUGAAGGGUAUGGAUAUAAAUAUCCCUCUGACCUGAGAUCACCACGGUGACUUGCAAGCAACUCACCGUACUUUGGUGUCAGACUAACUCAGUUUCUAAUUCAGUGACGGAAGGUUUCUGGAUGCAGUCAAGUAUUUAUCAAGUUUGUGCAUGAGUCA